AUGCAGAAGCUCCUGGGCCAGGGAUCAAACCUGAGCCACAGCAAUGAAAAUGUCAGAUCUUUAACCCACUGAGCCACCAGGAAACUCCCCACUUAAUCUUUCACAAUAGAAUAUAAAAUGUUGGUGAGGAAAUUAGAGAAUUAGAUGAGUGGCCCUUUCCCCCUGUCUUUGGAGAGCAGCUUCAAGGCGGGACAAAGGAAGUGACUGUACUUUUUUUUUUUUUUUUUUUUUAAGGGCCACACCAGAGGCAUAUGGAAGUUCCUUGCUAGGGGUUGCAUUGGAGCUGGAGCUGCCGGCCUACACCACAGCCACAGCAAUGCCAGGUGCAAGCUGCUUCUGCAACCUAUACCACAGGUCACAGCAACGCCGAUCCUUAACCCACUGAGGGAGGCCAGGGUUUGAACCUGCAUCCUCAUGGCUACUAGUUGAGUCCAUUACCACUGAGCCACAACAGGAACUCCCAGAAGUGAUGAGAUCUUAAAGGCUGAGUCUCUUUCCUGGGUCUAUAGGGAUAAAGAGAAGGAUUAGAGAGGUGACCAGAAAGAAAAGUUAAACCAUUCCUUGAAACCUGAUGUGACAUAAGAAAUAAAACUGAAAAAACUUUAAAAGUCAAGGAGAAUGGCUAGGGAAUCCUUUAGUGAGAUACUUUAGAGCAUAGAGGACUGGAGUGAAGUGAGAAAAUUUUUGCAAAAUAUAUGCAUGCAAUUGGAGUUCCUUGACACUUAUGGCCCCAGGGAGAUUGCAGCACAAUUAAGGCCUGCUUGAUUUUCAGCAAUAAAGUCAGCUCUCUUUUUUUUUUCACAAAAAGAAAAGACUUUGUGGGGAUAGUAAUUGCUGGAAUGAAAAAUUCCAACUUGACAUCUGUUCCAGAUUCACCUGCAGCUGUUGCUUACCUGUGUAGAGGCAGCUGGUGACCUGGCAAAAUGCAAGAUGUAGGAGAAAAGGAGCUAGGAAAAACUGACUCCUUCCUUGCUACCAUCCUCUCACCACAGACUGAGUUUUACAAAGGCCACACAAUCAUUCUCUCUACAACAAUACCCUCAAUUUUGGCUGCAUGUUGCAAUCACUACAAUUGCCUGGGAGCUUUAAAAAUCAUGACAUCCUGGGGUUCCCUCAUUACACAAUAGGUUAAGGAUCUGUCGUUGUCAUUGCAGCAGCUCAGGUUGCUGCUGUGGCAUGGUUUUGAUCCCUGGCCCUGGGAACUUCCACGUGCUGCAGCCUAAAAUUAAUUAAUUAAUUAAUAAUCUCUAAGAGUGAGAACCAAGAAUUAAUAGUUGGUAAAGCUCCCACAGUGAUUGCAAUGUUAGUUAAGACUGGGAACCAUUGCCUAGAACCUGCUUUAUUGCUGGUAGAAGUUAGAAAGAAUGGAAAACAAAGAUAAAAAAACAGAAGCAUCUGAGAAAAGAUAUGGGGGGGGGCAGAACAGAAAGAAGGGGUUGCAUUUGUAAAGAUUUUAGCAUCAUGUAGAAGAUACAUAUUCUUGGAAGAACACUGGAAUAACCAUUUGGGGAAAAUAGAGGGAAAAAAGGUCUCACAAUUGGAGGAAACCAAGAUGUGUUUCAAGUUUGGAUGGAAACAGUCUUUGGGAUGUAUGAAUCCAGCCUCUAGGCUCAUAGCUAUAGCAAGGGGUACUCAGUGAGCACAUUUCUUUGGAAAGAAUUUCAUAUUAUCAAUUUAACAUCUUCAUGAAUUAUACCCAUGUUUCCAGUUCUGCCCUUUAAAAAAAUUCAGGGUAAUUCUAAAUCUCUUCUAUCCAAUUGCCCCUUGAACAAAAGACAGCUAUCUCCCACCCACACUCACAUACUCCAUGAUAUUAAAACAUCAACUUUUUAAAAAGCCCUUCAUAUCCAUUGUUACUUGGUCCCCACCACGCCCCUGCAAACUUAGCAUUACUUUAUCUUUUCCACUUUGCAGGUCAUAUAUGUGAUGUUCAGAGAAGUUAAUACGUGACCAAAAUCAAGUAAAUGAGUGUCAGAGUCAUGACUUGAACCCAGGCCUUCUGACUCUAAAUGUGUGCCCUCUCCACCCUAUUUGUUAUGGACUCUGGCCUUUGAUUGGUGUAUCUAAGAUGACUUUAGGGGUUCUUUCCUUUAUUUAAGAAGUUAUUUUAUUUUUUUUCUUUUUAGAGCCACAUCUGCAGCAUAUGGAAGUUCCUGGGCCAGGGGUUAAAUCAGGGCUGCAGCUGUGCAGCUGCAGCAACACCACAGCCACAGCAGAUCCAAGUCACAUCUGCAACCUAGGCUGAAGCUCAUGGCAACGCUAGAUCCUUAAGACACUGAGCGAGGCCAGGGAUCAAAUUGAAUCCUCAUGGAGACUGUGUCGGCUUCUUAACCCACUGAGCCAAAACAGGAAUUACCUUUUUUUUUAAUUAAAAAAAAAAUUUUUUAAGGUUUUUUUCCCCUGGUAACCACCCUUUUACUUUCUGUCUCUGUGAAUUGAAUGCUUCUAGGUACCUCAUAUAAAAGGAGUCUUACUGUAUUUGUUCUUUGGUUUCUGGCUUGCUUCACCUGGCAUGAUGUGAGAUUCAUCGAUGUUGUAGCAAGUGUCAGAAUUUGCUUCCUUUUUAGGACCAAAUAGCAUUCCACUGUGUGUAUACAUUACACUUUGUUUGUCCAUUCAUCUGUCAAUGGGCAUUUGGAUCGCUUCUGCCUUUGGCUAUUGAGAAUAAUGCUGCCAUGAACAUAGUGUGUAUAUACACAAGUGUCUCUGAGAUCUUGCUUUCAGUUCUUUGGAGAUCUGUCCAAUGGAAUUGCUGGGACAUAUGGUAAUCUUAUUUUUAGCUUUUUCAAGGAACAGUACUGUUUCCAUUAGCUUUUUUUUUUUUUUUUUUGGCUGCACCCACAGCAUGGAGAAGUUCCCCAGUCAGGGACUGAACCCCAGCCACAGUGACCUGAGCUGCUGCAAGGAUCC
rnacentral:lncRNA from 1 species